UGGGGAAUAUUGGGCAAUGGGCGAAAGCCUGACCCAGCAACGCCGCGUGAGGGAAGAAGGUCUUCGGAUUGUAAACCUCUGUCCUUGGGGACGAAAAAAAUGACGGUACCCAAGGAGGAAGCCCCGGCUAACUACGUGCCAGCAGCCGCGGUAAUACGUAGGGGGCGAGCGUUGUCCGGAAUUACUGGGCGUAAAGGGUGCGUAGGUGGCCUUUUAAGUUGGAUGUGAAAUACCCGGGCUUAACUUGGGGGGUGCAUCUAAUACUGGAGGGCUAGAGUGCAGGAGAGGGAAGCGGAAUUCCUAGUGUAGCGGUGAAAUGCGUAGAUAUUAGGAGGAACACCAGUGGCGAAGGCGGCUUUCUGGACUGUAACUGACACUGAGGCACGAAAGCGUGGGGAGCAAACA
rnacentral:rRNA from 1 species